UACAGAGGUCCCGAGCGUUGUUCGGAUUCAUUGGGCGUAAAGGGUGCGUAGGCGGCGGGGUAAGUCUGAUGUGAAAUCCUGGGGCUCAACCCCAGAACUGCAUUGGAUACUGCCUUGCUAGAGUACUGGAGAGGAAACUGGAAUUUACGGUGUAGCAGUGAAAUGCGUAGAGAUCGUAAGGAAGACCAGUGGCGAAGGCGAGUUUCUGGACAGUUCCUGACGCUGAGGCGCGAAGGCCAGGGGAGCAAACGGG
rnacentral:rRNA from 1 species